AAUUGAGAGGGCUUUAAAAAAUAGUCUUUGCACUUGUAGAUAUGCCAUAGGGAACUUUUAACAAAGGAAAAAAAAUACGAUUUGUGAUCAAAUGGUAUUUCACUAUUAUUUUGAUGCAUUUUCCGCACAAAAAUGACUUACCCUUCAAUGAAAGACUUGUCAAGCAAGAAGUCGUUAAGUUGCUUAAGACCAGCGUCAGAGGUGAGAUCAGAAAAACCCAUUUUUAAAGUAGUUGGUUGUU